rnacentral:rRNA from 1 species
AUGGGUGUUGGCUCCAACAAUUCGCAUUGGUCUCAAACCAAUGACAUCCAUUUCGAAGACCAUGAGUUCGAGGUGGACGAGGAGGGUGAGGGCAUUGUCGACGUGCCGAAAGGAAGAGCGGGCAAUUACACUAACAAAGAUGACAUCUUACUAUGCAAUACUUGGUUGCAAGUGUCGAGGGAUCCAUCCGUUGGAGGUGAUCAAAGUAGAGAUGCUUAUUGGGGGCUGAUGAAAGAACACUUUGAUGCUCACAACGUGAGUGGAAUUGACCGCUCCGAGAGAUCAGUUCGGCCCCGGUGGUCGACAAUCAACUCGGAUUGUCAAAAGUGGGCGGCCGCACAAAAGGCGGUUGACAAGUUGAACCCAAGUGGCACAAAUGAGGACGAUAGAGUAAGUGGCAUUUCAUACAUGUUCAUCAUACUUGUUUUUGGUGUCCGAAGUGCUAACUUGUUUUGUUUUUCUUGUAGUACAACACUGCACAAAACUUGUUCAAAGAAGAGGAGAGGAAAACCAAGAAGGGGAAGAUCAAGAAAGGAAGGGUAUUUACCUUGCCUCAUUUCUACAAAUUGUUGA